rnacentral:rRNA from 1 species
UAGGGAAUAUUGGACAAUGGGCGCAAGCCUGAUCCAGCCAUGCCGCGUGAGUGAAGAAGGCCCUCGGGUUGUAAAGCUCUUUUGUCCGGAAAGAAAAGCGCCGGGUUAAUACCCUGGUGUCCUGACGGUACCGGAAGAAUAAGCACCGGCUAACUUCGUGCCAGCAGCCGCGGUAAUACGAAGGGUGCAAGCGUUACUCGGAAUUACUGGGCGUAAAGCGUGCGUAGGUGGUUCGUUAAGUCCGAUGUGAAAGCCCUGGGCUCAACCUGGGAAUGGCAUUGGAUACUGGCGGGCUAGAGUGCG